ACUGCCCGCCUGGGAGUACCACCUGUGGCUGAGGGCCUGUGGGGCUCUGCAGGGGCUGCGUGGGUAGCAGAAGGGGCCUGGUCUCAGAGGCCUGCCAGCCUGGGUGUGUGGUUCAUCUCCACCCCUUCCCAGCUAUGCAGCCCAGGCCUUAGUCCCUUCCUCAGGUGUGGAGUGGGCAGUGCCAUGUAGGGCAGGCCUUCAACCUGGAGACCUUUGGCUCCCUGCUCUCCAUUCUUGUCUUUCCCCUUCCCAGGGGUGGAGAAUUCGGAAGGGCAGGGCCUGAGGUGGGGGAUCUGCGGAGUUAGGCUUUCCUGGGACCCCUGUAGACAGUGUGCGGUCCCCUGGCAUUCCCAGGCCAGCUCCUUUCCCAGCGAGUUGUCAGCCCUUUCCGGGGCGCUCAAAUGGCUGGGGAGUUGGGGAGACCAUGGCAGGCCUGGGACUCGGGUCUCAGCUCACUCGAGUCCCUGUCUCGGGCCUCAUCCUUCCUUUGGAUGCUUCCUCUUGUCACAGGCUGAGCCCAUCCUGUCCUUCCUGUGGCUCCAGGCACCACCCCCAGCCCUGGCACCAGACCCAGGGAGACCUUCCACACAUGAGUUGGCUACCACAAGCCACUGCACUUGUCACCUUCUCUGACACAGUUCAGCCCAGGCCCCAGGUCAGAAACUGAGGGUCACCUUUGACUGAGGCAUCUCCUUCCACUUCCAGGAGGUGGCCUGGGGCAGGGGCCAAAUAAAAAUACACCCCGUCAACACACAUAUGUACACAUAUAUAUACACAUGUAGAAGCACCUCCACCCAGAAGCCAGGCUGACAGGUCUCUACACUGUACCAUCCUCAGGAUAGUAUAGCUCUUGGGAACAUUAAUUAUUCCCCACAUUAUGUUAGGCCAAGUUCAGAUUUAGAACCAACCCAGAUAACGGUCAGGAGAAACAAAGCAGCUGGCUGCUCAAACAUGAGAAUACAGUGAGGAGAAUUGGUUGAGAAAUUCAUGUUACCAAAAGAACCGGUCUAGGAUUUUCUCAGAACUACCAGGAACUGGCACAAAUCAGCGUGUCAUUUUUGCUUCCUAAUCAAAGCUUGGGGCACGUUCAGUUCUGACUGCUGGAGGCCAUUUUUGAAGGACCACUCAUUGUGUGCAGAAGGAUGAAACUGAUGAAAAUCUCUAAACCUGCCAGGUUGAGAGGCCCAGCAGGGGCCUAAACCGUACAUCACGGCAGGCAUAGGGGGAAGAUACUGGGCAGGUAGACUGAGGAUAGUUCCUGGGGACCCCAGCUGUUUCUGAUGAGUCACACUCCAGAAAGUUCCAGGUCUUUGCUCUCUUCCCCUUCGCUCUUGUCAGUGCACUCUGUUUGCUGUGGGCUGGAAGCAGGCGAGGUCUUCUCCACCAGUCACAUGAAUUCUAUAGCUGAGGAUUCAGUGCAGAGCCCCAUGGGUGGGCACUGAGGUGGACCCUGGGAUGGAGCCUGAGGCCUAGCUCUGCGCUCUCAAUCCUACCAGGACCUAGCCCUGAGGUGGGAAAGGUGGCCCCUUUCCUCAGCUGCCCACCCCCAUGGCCUCAGAAGGCUAGGCUGGAGGAGGCCCAGCCACAGCUUCCCAGAAUGGUGAGUAGCUGCAGGAGUGGAAGGUGGCCCAGUGUCCAGGAUGUGUCUGUCCCUCCCCCGGAGCCAGGCCUGAGGGACCCC
rnacentral:lncRNA from 10 species